rnacentral:rRNA from 1 species
GUGCAGCAGUCGCGAAACUUUACAAUGUGCGAAAGCACGAUAAGGGAACUCUGAGUGCCUCCUAAGGAGGCUGUUCAGGUGUCUAAAAGCACCUGAAGGAAGGGCUGGGUAAGACCGGUGCCAGCCGCCGCGGUAACACCGGCAGCCCAAGUGGUAGCCACGUUUAUUGGGUCUAAAGCGUCCGUAGCCGGCUGGGUAAGUUCCUUGGGAAAUUUGGCUGCUUAACAGUCAAGCUUUCAGGGAAUACUGCCCGGCUUGGGACCGGGAGAGGUCAGAGGUACUCCAGGGGUAGGGGUGAAAUCCAUUAAUCCUUGGGGGACCACCGGUAGCGAAGGCGUCUGACCAGACCGGGUCCGACGGUGCGGGACGAAGGCUAGGGGCGCGAACCGGAUUAGAUA